UAUCCAGUGGAGACGCAGUGGGGCCUGUAGCUCAGAGGAUUAGAGCACGUGGCUACGAACCACGGUGUCGGGGG
rnacentral:rRNA from 1 species